GAUGAACGCUGGCGGCGUGCCUAAUACAUGCAAGUCGAGCGAACAGACGAGGAGCUUGCUCCUCUGACGUUAGCGGCGGACGGGUGAGUAACACGUGGAUAACCUACCUAUAAGACUGGGAUAACUUCGGGAAACCGGAGCUAAUACCGGAUAAUAUAUUGAACCGCAUGGUUCAAUAGUGAAAGACGGUUUUGCUGUCACUUAUAGAUGGAUCCGCGCCGCAUUAGCUAGUUGGUAAGGUAACGGCUUACCAAGGCAACGAUGCGUAGCCGACCUGAGAGGGUGAUCGGCCACACUGGAACUGAGACACGGUCCAGACUCCUACGGGAGGCAGCAGUAGGGAAUCUUCCGCAAUGGGCGAAAGCCUGACGGAGCAAAGCCGCGUGAGUGAUGAAGGUCUUCGGAUCGUAAAACUCUGUUAUUAGGGAAGAACAAAUGUGUAAGUAACUAUGCACGUCUUGACGGUACCUAAUCAGAAAGCCACGGCUAACUACGU
rnacentral:rRNA from 1 species